AUUGAACGCUGGCGGCAGGCCUAACACAUGCAAGUCGAACGGUAACAGGAAGAAUCUUGCUUCUUUGCUGACGAGUGGCGGACGUGUGAGUAAUGUCUGGGAAACUGCCUGAUGGAGGGGGAUAACUACUGGAAACGGUAGCUAAUACCGCAUAACGUCGCAAGACCAAAGAGGUGGACCUUCGGGCCUCUUGCCAUCGGAUGUGCCCAGAUGGGAUUAGCUAGUAGGUGGGGUAACGGCUCACCUAGGCGACGAUCCCUAGCUGGUCUGAGAGGAUGACCAGCCACACUGGAACUGAGACACGGUCCAGACUCCUACGGGAGGCAGCAGUGGGGAAUAUUGCACAAUGGGCGCAAGCCUGAUGCAGCCAUGCCGCGUGUAUGAAGAAGGCCUUCGGGUUGUAAAGUACUUUCAGCGGGGAGGAAGGGAGUAAAGUUAAUACCUUUGCUCAUUGACGUUACCCGCAGAAGAAGCACCGGCUAACUCCGUG
rnacentral:rRNA from 1 species